CUGGGAGCAGUCACCAUCCGGACCAUGCUGCACUGAGGAUUCCUGCUGUGUUCACUAACUGGAAUGCCCAUAUCAGUCCAUUCACUAUGUCAGGCUGGUCUUGCUGAAGCCAGUGGCUACCUUCUGACAAAAUGGUUUGUGAGCUGGGGACCCUUGUCUUCUCAACAGUGUACCUCGAGUGCCGACAGCCCAGGACAUGUCAUGCUCUUAAACAUGUUUCCUGAUUUUGUGUCUGUGUGGUUGUCUGCAAUGUAUGUGCAGGCACCUGCAGAGACCAGAGUGAUGCUGGAUCGCCCGGCUCGAAUACCUGAGCAGUGGCUGCUUUACCCAGUGACAUCUUCCCAGGCCCCUAAGGGACAGAUUUGGAGUACUGGCUGGGGUGAUACGAAGCUCCUCCAACACUAUGUUUACCUGGACUCUGCCAUGCUUCCCACCAUGAUGCUAAUGGAUUAAACCUCUGAAACUGCAUCUCCUUCCCACACUGCGAUCUGAGUGUUUCAUAUACGCUCUCCUUUCCUGCCUGCUCCCUCUGUCACAUCUGUGUUUCUAACAGUGGACUAUAUCAGUGCCCAAGACUUCACGCCACAUUUGGGAGAUGACUAACCCCAGAAAAGGAAAGGACUGGGAACAAGAGAAGAAUGCUGCAGACAUCAAGGAUAUGGGAGCAUAGACAAGAAAGGAAGAGAGAAAAGCUAAAUCCCUGCAAGUAUGAGGGGAAGACAGCACAAGUCAAAGCUGGCCAUGGACUCUGUCUCUGGCGUGUCAUUGCCCUUGAUUCCACCACCUUACUAAGAAAACAAGGCCCAAGGGCUGAGGUUGCAGAGCAGUGGCAGAGCAUUUGCCUUUCAAGCAUGAGACCCGAGCUUCAGUCCCCAGCACUGCCGUCCCUUCCCCUAAAUGAGGUCCAAUUGUCAUUCAUCUGCAGUGGUGGAAAGUUCUGGAUCUUAAUCAGUGGUGACCAUGCUUCAGCCUCUGGCCAAGCCAGGACCUUCAGCCUCUGGAAGACCUGGACUCUAAGCACCUGAUUUUAUGAGAAGUUAUCUAGAAGGUGUGGAAAAACUCCCCUCAGGUCUUUUGGAAGCUGCUCUCAGCUGUUCUCCUAGCUUACCUCUAUUUCUCUCUGCCACCCACCAACCUAAGAAGCACUCCCUAGGCAACCCACAGCCACACUUUCCUAUGAUCCAGAGAGGGUAACAGACGCCAAGGGAUGAAACUCUCACUCAACAAAGACCAGACCAGACCAGAAAUCAGCAUCUACAGGCACCUCAAUCACGUUAAGCCCCAAUGCCUACACACCAGUGCAAAAACCACAAUGAUUACUACUCUAGGCAAUAUGCCUCCACCUGAACCCAGGAACCCUACCCUACUAUAGUAAGCCAUAAGAAAGGCAACAUAGCUACGAGAUAAGGAUUUCAAAAUAGCAAUUACGAAUACAGUUAAGGACCCUAAAACUGAUAAGAACGAGUCCUUAAUGAGGCCUCUGAAAACACAAAUGAACAGUGGAAGGAAAUAAUGAGAAUGGUUCAAGGCCUGGAGGUGAAACAGAAUCAUAAAGACAACCCAACUGAGGUAAAACUAGAAAUGAAAAAAAUGUAGGAAGUCAGACAAAAAUAUCAGAGAAAGCCUUUCCAACAGAGCACAAGACAUGGAUGAGAAAAUCUUGGGUGUUGAAGACAAGGUAGAAGAAAUGGAUAAUUCAGUUAAAAAAAAAAAGUGUUAAAUCUAAAAACAUUCAGGCACAAAACAUCCAGGAAAUCUGGGACACUAUGAAAAGAUUAAAUCUACGAAUAACAGAAAGGAGAAUAAACCCAGGCCAAAGGCACAGAAACUGUUUUCAAUAAAAUCAUAAAAGGAAAGCUUCCCAACCUAAAGGAGGUACUUAUCAAAGUACAAGAAGCAUACAGAGCAACCAAUACACCAGAAACGAAAAUCUCCACAAUAGUCAAAACACUAAACAUACGCAACAAGAUGAGAACAUUAAAAGUAUUCUCAGUGGAGACUCUGAAAGCCAGAAUGGCCUAAAAGAUGUUCUACAAAUUCUAGGAGAUGAGAGAUGCCAAUCCAGACUAAACUUUCUAUCUAUAUAUCUACAGAACUCUAUACCCAGCAAAACUGUCAAUCACAACAGAUGGAGAAAGAAAAAUAUUCCACAACAAAACCAAAUUCAAGCAGAAUCUACCUAUGAAUCCAGCUCUACAGAAGGUACUUCAGCCUGAAAAGGCUGACCACAUCCAAGAAACACAAGGAAUAAAUAAUACCAGAACACUGAGUCACAAGGGAGGAUGGGAUUCAAACUUUAACAACAGAAGAACUACCAAUAAAAACUGCUUGUUGUUCAUUCUCAAGAAGAGUUUCAAAUCCCCCAAUAAAAAGACACAGACUAACAUACUGGAUUAGAAAACAGGAUCCAUCUUUGUACUGCACCCAAGAAACACACCUUACUAUCAGUAUAGACAUCACCUCAAGGUAAAAGGAUGGAAAAAGAUAUUCCAAGCAAAUAGAUCCCAAAAGGAAGAGAUUGUAGCCAUUUUAAUAUCUGACAAAAUAGACUUCAAACCAAAACAAAUCAGAAGAGUCAUGGAAGGACACUAAAUACUCAUCAAAGGAAAAAUCCACCCAGAGGACACUGCAACUCUACAUAUCCAUGCACCAAGCACAAGUGCACCCAAGUUCAUAAAAGAAAUGCUAAAACAGCUAAAAUCACAUACUGAACCUCACACAUUGGUGGUGGGAGACCUCAGUACCCAACUCUCGCCAAUAGAUAGGUCAUCCAGACAAAAACUAAACAGAGAAAUACUGGAGUUGACAAUGUUACAAACCAGUAAUAUAACAGAUACUUACAGAACAAUUCAUUAAACAUAAAUGCAUAUACCUUCUCUGUACCUCAUGAGACUUUCUCCAAAGUUGACCACAUGCUGAGAUGCAAAGCAAAUCUCAACAGAUACAAGAAAACUGAAAUAAGCCCCCUGCAUCCUAUCUGACCACCAUGGAUUAAAGCUGGAUAUCAUCAACAACAGAAACAAUAGAAAGUUUACAAACUCAUGGAAACAGAACAACUUCCUACUGAGUGAAAAAUGAAACAAGUUAGAAAUCAAGAAGGAAAUUAAAAACUUUUCAGAAUUGAAUGAAACUGAACACACAACAUACACACACCUGUGAGACACAAUGAAGAUGGUUAUGAGGUAAGCUUGUGGCACUAAGUGCCUACGUGAAAAAUUUGGAGAGAUUUUUCUCAUAUUUGUAACUUAGCAACAACCUGAAAACUCUAGCAUAACAAAAAGAAAUAACACCCCACAAAAAGUGGACAGCAAGAAACAAAUUCAGGGCUGAAAUCAAUGAGAUAGAAACAAACAAAAAUACAAAGUUUCAAUGAAACUAUGAUUUGAAAAAAAAAAAAACAUUAAGAGGGCUGGAGAGAUGGCUCAGCAGUUAAGAGCACUGACUGCUCUUCCAGAGGUCCUGAGUUCAAUUCCCAGUAACCACAUGGUGGCUCACAACCAUUUGUAAUGAGAUCUGAUGCCUUCUUCUGGUGUGUCUGAAGACAGCUACAGUAUACUUACAUAUAAUAAAUAAAUAAAUCUUUAAAAAAUCAUUAAGAUUGAUAAACCCCUAGCCAACAAGAUGGCUGCAUGUAGAAGAAUCCAAAUAGAUCCAUACUUAUCAUCCUGCACAAAACUCAACUCCAAAUGGAUCAAGGACCCCCAACAAAAGGCCAGAUACACUGAAUCCGAUUAAAGAAAGUGGGAAUAGUCUUGAACUCAUUAGCACAGGAAAACAGCAAUUAACAUGGGACCUCAUGAAACUGAGAUGCUUCUGUAUGGUAACAGACACCAACAUUGGGACAAAGGGGCAGCCCACAGAAUAGAAAAGAUUUUUAUCAACUACUACCCAUCUUGUAGAUGGCUGAUAUCAAAAGCAUAUAAAGAACUGAAACAACUGGAUAUCAAGAAAACAACCCAAUUAAAAAUGGGGUACAUGGGGGCUGGCGAGAUGGCUCAGUGGUUAAGAGUGCCGACUGCUCUUCCGAAGGUCCCGAGUUCAAAUCCCAGCAACCACAUGGUGGCUCACAACCAUCCGUAAUGAAAUCUGAUGCCCUCUUCUGGAGUGUCUGAGGACAGCUACAGUGUAUUUACAUAUAAUAAAUAAAUAAAUCUUUAAAAAAAAAUGUGAGGCCUUUGGCUCAAUCCCUAGCACAAAAGGAAGAAGAAACUUAAAGUAAAAGAAAUGCUAAAGCAUACUUUUAAAAAAAAUGGGGUACAUAACUAAGUAGAGAGUUCCCAAAAGAUGAAAUACAAAUGGCUGAGAAAUGCUUUUCAAAAAUAUUCAACAUCCCUUUUCAACAGGGGAAUGCAAGUCAAAACUAAUUUGAGAUUUUAUCUUACCCCAGUCAUAAUUGCCAAGUUCAGUAAAGCAAAUGAGAGCUCAUGCUGGUGAACAUGUGGGGAAGGGGAACAUUUAUGCAUUGCUAGUGGGAGUACAGACUUGUACAACCACUAUAGAAAUCAGUGUGGCAGUUUGUCUAGAAGCUAGAAAUAGAUCUACUCCCAAGAUCCAGCUACCCACUCUUGGGCACACACCCAAAGACCCCGCGUCUGAUUACAGAGACACUGGCUCAUUCACCUUCAUUGCUGCUCUCACUCAUGAAA